GCCCGCAUGGCUCAGUGGUAGAGCGUGUCACUAGUAAUGACAAGGUCGUCAGUUCGAUUCUGGCUGUGGGCA